UACGUAGGGCGCAAGCGUUAUCCGGAAUUAUUGGGCGUAAAGAGCUCGUAGGCGGUUUGUCGCGUCUGCCGUGAAAGUCCGGGGCUCAACUCCGGAUCUGCGGUGGGUACGGGCAGACUAGAGUGAUGUAGGGGAGACUGGAAUUCCUGGUGUAGCGGUGAAAUGCGCAGAUAUCAGGAGGAACGCCGAUGGCGAAGGCAGGUCUCUGGGCCAUAACUGACGCUGAGAAGCGAAAGCAUGGGGAGCGAACAGG
rnacentral:rRNA from 1 species